rnacentral:rRNA from 1 species
GUAGCGAGCUUAACCGAAUAGGGGAGGCGUAGCGAAAGCGAGUCUGAAUAGGGCGAUUCAGUUGCUGGGCGUAGACCCGAAACCAGAUGAUCUAUCCAUGGCCAGGAUGAAGGUGCCGUAACAGGUACUGGAGGUCCGAACCCACUAGUGUUGAAAAACUAGGGGAUGAGCUGUGGAUAGGGGUGAAAGGCUAAACAAAUCUGGAAAUAGCUGGUUCUCCCCGAAAGCUAUUUAGGUAGCGCCUCAUGUAUCACCACCGGGGGUAGAGCACUGUAAUGGUUGAGGGGGUCAUUGCGAUCUACCUCGCCAUAGCAAACUCCGAAUACCGGUGAGUGCGAGCAUGGGAGACAGACAGUGGGUGCUAACGUCCAUUGUCAAGAGGGAAACAACCCAGACCGCCAGCUAAGGUCCCCAAGCCAUGGUUAAGUGGAAAACGAAGUGGGAAGGCAUAGACAGUCAGGAAGUUGGCUUAGAAGCAGCCAUCCUUCAAAGAAAGACGUAAUAGCUCACUGAUCGAGUCGU